rnacentral:rRNA from 1 species
CGGCAACAGCUCAAAUUUGAAAUCUGGCCCCUCGGGGUCCGAGUUGUAAUUUGUAGAGGAUGCUUUUGGUGAGGUGCCGCCCGAGUUCCCUGGAACGGGACGCCACAGAGGGUGAGAAUCCCGUACGUGCCCGGUGGCCGCCCCCGUGUGAAGCUCCUUCGAC